rnacentral:rRNA from 1 species
CAGUCGCCGCGGUAAAACGGAGGGGGCUAGCGUUGUUCGGAAUUACUGGGCGUAAAGCGCACGUAGGCGGCUUGGUAAGUUAGAGGUGAAAGCCCGGAGCUCAACUCCGGAAUUGCCUUUAAGACUGCCGAGCUAGUAGGUGAGAGAGGUAAGUGGAAUUCCGAGUGUAGAGGUGAAAUUCGUAGAUAUUCGGAAGAACACCAGUGGCGAAGGCGGCUUACUGGCUCAUUCUAGACGCUGAGGUGCGAAAGCGUGGGGAGCAAACAGGAUUAGAUACCCCCGUAGUCCCUGUCUCUUAUAC